rnacentral:tRNA from 1 species
GUGACGUAAGCCGAGCGGUUAAGGCACUUGGUUGUGACCCAAGGUUUGGCGGGUUCGACUCCCGUACGUCACCCC